GGAUUUAUGUUUUAGAUUCUGUCACUCACAGUUGAAGAGUAUCUAUAAUAAAAAUUAAAGACUUCUACAUGCUUUGCAAGCGGCAAAAUCUGCAGUGUAUGAAAUAUUUGUUCUCCCCACUGUACAUUCAUUAUUAAUUGUGAAAACGAUUUAUAAUCCCUUAAAGUGUUCAUUCCUAUUGCAUUUAUUUGCACAUUACAGCUACAAGUCUUAUUUUAUUGGGAUUCAGGCAAUUGACCAUCAGAAAGUAGCAUAACUGUGAAGUGGAAGAGAACAUUUACGGUACUUGAGUUUUCUCCAUUUUUACAAAUGUAAAACUGAAAUGUAUGGCAUGCAUAUCUCAAUAAAAUCCAAGACAAUCGACUACCUGCAGAAGUCACAUGAUUAGCAAAUACCACCACACACUGUAGGUGGCUUGAAUAUCUAACAAAUUAUGAAAGAGUUCUGCAUCACAAUACAUGGUACCUUUUGAAAGUAUUCACACUGCUUGAAAUCUUUUAUAUUUUGUGAGGUUACAACCACAGCCCUAAAGGAGUUUAAAGUGGGAUCUUGUCUGAACAACACACAACAGAGCAUAAUUGAAAGGUAGAUGAAAAAUCAUAAAUCAAAGUCUUUUACAAAUAAAGGUUUGAAAGACAUUGUGUGCAUUUUUAUUUAUCCUCCUAAAUAAAAUCCAGUGCAACAAAUUGCCUUCAGAAGUCACCUGCUCAGUAAACAGAGUCCAUCUGUGUGUAAUCUAAUCUCGGUAUAAAUCCAGCCAGCUGUUCUGUGAAGGCCUCAGAAGAUUUUUAGAGAGUGAACAUCAGUAAACAAACAGCAUCAUGAAGCCUGAAGAACACACCAGAAAGGUCAGGCGUAAAGUUGUGAAGAAUUUAAAGCAUGGUUAACAAUAUUUGAAGCUUUGAACAUCUCACAGAGCCCUUUUCACUUCAUCUAAAAAUGUUAGGGGAAUGGCAGUCUAGCUAACCAUACCGACAACUGGGGUCUUAUUUACAAAACAUUUCGUAGGAUCAUACUAAAAUUGUACGUACGCCCAAAAAUCAGAAAUGGUGUAUGCCAAAAAAAUCCAACAAUGCGCAUACAUACCAGCAAGCAAUUUCCACUUCAUAAAUCAAGGUUCUGCCUCAUAUUCUGGCCUCCACACACCCACAUUCAACCAUACAUGGUCAUUGCAAAGCACCUCAUGAAUGUCAGUGUAUUUAAAGCUAAUAAAUGUUAUUUUAUGGUAAACAAUGGCGACCAUGGAGAAAAGAGCAAAGAAAUGCAAUUUCACCAAGAAAUCCAUGUGUUGGGAAGUGAGAUAGAGUCCAAAAAUACCAUGUUUGGUAGCCACAGUAGUGGCGUGACAAAUACAAGGAAGUUCUGGGAGUGGAAACACCUUGUUACCACAGUAAAUUCAGAAAGUGGGACCACUGGCGCUGGAAUGGGGGGGGCCAGGGGGCCAUUGUCCCCCACUUUAUGGCCCUGCCCCGCCCACAUCAUAGACUCAGGCUUGCCAGACUCGACUGUGCUGAGAGGCUGUGACUGACGUCUCUCUCUCUCGCUAUCUGUCUCUGGGCCAGAUUUACUAAACAUUUUUGCCUCUUAAAUCCAGACAGCAUGGGCAAAAGCAUCAUUUAAUGAAAUGCGCAAUAAGAUCAGAAGAAGAAAAUAAGACCCGCUGUCCAGUAUACACGUUUCAUGAAUAUGCAGUGGCCUACUAGGCUCAGCGCAAAAGAUGUGAAAUUCAUGGUGGAGUCUGUCAAUGUUUUGUGCGUCUCAAAGGCAGCCGCAAUUUGCAACACCACUACGCACAGGUGGCAGGUAUGAUCGCUCGAUCCUGCACCGCUUUGAGUACUCAGGUUUAGCUCCGUCUCAGAAACUAUAACACAGAGAAGCAUGGGAGGGUGGGAGGUGUAGUUGAUCUGUGACUCUGUGAAGGUAGAGCCAAGCUGAAUGUAUCCUUGGCUUUGACUGUUAAAUAUGUAUCCAAUAUCAUAUGGAGCCCUUAUAGCAAUAUGAACGCAGCCAUUCGCGCCGAUAACAUUUCGAAAGCCAGACGUUGUUGCAAAGUGCCUUUUAAUGUUGGCUUGGUCUCCCACAGUGUAGGGAAAUCUGACAUAUCGACUGGUCAUAAAACAAUGCCAUCCAGGUAUUAUUGCCCGUGGCGCUGGCUGCGACAUCCCACACCCAUGGAUAAUUUCACAGAAUUAUGUUGUUCCUAAAAGUGGCUUCAGGCAGAGCCGGUCAAUUAAUUGUUGCUUAAACACAUACAUGUCGGCUAAUUUGCACUGGUAAGAGCUGGUUGCCAGGAACCCCAGAGUGGUUAACACCUGUAAUUGAACAGGGAUUGCAUGGUUCCGGUGGUGCUUCCAGCAGUGCCAAUGCAUCCAUCGUGCAGCAUUAUGUACGAAUGUCUUCACGGUAUUUAAACGUUUACAGCAUUCUGGUGAUCACCGGGGAGAGGAAUGUGAUGGUGAGAAAACUUCCAUGAAAUAUGCAAACUUCUUUUUAUUUAUGUGAAAGGUUCUUAUGUAUAGUUAUGGUUCUCAAGCACAAGCAUAAAUAACACUGCGGGUUUGAAUACGUGUGAUGAAGUCAAUCUAUGAUCAAAGUUUGAUAUGAGGUGAAAUUAAUUGUCUGAGAGGGAUCACGAUGCAGUAUGGCUUCAAUUCCCCACCUUGCCAUCUGCGUUGUCCGUUCCCCCUGUCUCCAAAAGGAGCGUAUGCAUGGGUCAGUGUUUGCGUGAGGACUGCACAUUCUCCCAUAGUUUGAUUUUUUUUUUUAGAUCACAAACUUGGCGUUUAAAGUUAUGUACGCAAGUUUCAGACCCAGCUUUGUGCUUACGCCACGUUUAUAAAUUAGAUCCCAUGAGGAGAGCUGUUAUCAGAGAAGCAGCUAAGAGGCUCAUGGCAAUUCUGCAGGAGCUGAAGAGAUCCACAGCUCAUAAAGGGAAAUCUGUUGAUAGAGCAAAUAUUAAUUAUGGACACCACAAAUCUGGUCUGUAUAGAAGAGAUGUCAUGCCUAGCCUGUGUCUGUGUUGUGUUUUUGUUUAUUUCCCCUAGUCUGGUUCUCAGUUCACCCUCUGUUCUGUGUUCAAUGUGUUAAUUGUUUUAACUCCCUCUGUCUCCCUGCAGUCUGGCUCACACCUGUUCCUUGUUGUCCCUAAUUAAUCAGUCUCUCUGUCCAUUGGCUCUCCCUGUACUCUCGUUAGUAUUUAAGCUCUCUGGUUGUUAUUAUUCUUCACUGGCUCCUGCUGUUAUGUCCCCACUCAUUGCUGAGUGGUAAUCAGGCAGAACAAACCCUGCUCUGAAUCUGCCUUUGUGCUUCCCUGCCCUUUUCUAACCCCAGCUCUGUUCACCUUUCAAGGUUGCUGCCAGUGAAGCCCAGCUCUGGAUAUCCUUUGUGGCUCUGGUUCUUCUUCCUGUUGGCUGUCAGCAUACCCGUUCCUAGACAACCCACUGUGGUUAGUCUUGUGCUCAUGGUGAAUACUUCACUGAAUUUACAUUUGUCCAAGGACCGUUCAGGAUCUGCAAGAUCUGACUACAAGAUCACUCAUCGCUUCACCUGCCUUGCCUGUCCACCCUCCAACGCCUUCCACUGCUCAGAGGAAUCCACUCACACGGGAUGUUGGCCUUUCAGCCUCAGUCUUUGUGGCUUGCUCACUUCUCCCCAGAACCAUCAUCUUCAUCCACAAUGAGCUGAUCCCAGAAGCCAACCAUCUAUGGAGUCCUGUCACUGCCCAUACAAUACCUUGACAAUAAACUUGUUAAAACAAUAAACUUGUUAAAACUU